rnacentral:sRNA from 1 species
AUCCUAGAGAAAAUUAAAAAGAACCAGAGGCAAGAUUACUUAAAUGGUGCAGUGUCUGGCUCGGUGCAGGCCACUGACCGGCUGAUGAAGGAGCUCAGGGAUAUAUACCGAUCACAGAGUUUCAAAGGCGGUGAGUUUGCCCAAGAGAGGGGCCUGCACAAGAGUCACCCAUAAAGAAGAGUAUGGUGGCAAGGGGCCCAAGAGGUUCUGGGGUCCAGGAGUGCUUAUGAACUUUUCACGCCAAGAAUGGAGCUCCUCAAGCCAGUGGCUUUGUUGCAUGUCCAUCUGUGGUGAACCUAGAGCUGUUGAUCUUUUUCUCUCAGUCUGGGAAAGGGGUCUGCAUUAGAGACCACUCACCACCUGGACCAUCCUACUAACCUGUUUUUUCCCUCCUUCCAGGAAACUAUGCAGUCGAACUCGUGAAUGAUAGUCUGUAUGAUUGGAAUGUCAAACUCCUCAAAGUUGACCAGGACAGCGCUUUGCACAAUGAUCUCCAGAUCCUCAAAGAGAAAGAAGGAGCUGACUUCAUUCUACUUAACUUUUCCUUUAAAGAUAACUUUCCCUUUGACCCACCAUUUGUCAGGGUUGUGUCUCCAGUCCUCUCUGGAGGGUAUGUUCUGGGCGGAGGGGCCAUCUGCAUGGAACUUCUCACCAAACAGGGCUGGAGCAGUGCCUACUCCAUAGAGUCAGUG